AGAGAAGGACCGGACCGGCCGCCAUGUUGGAGCCCUGGAGCUGCGGCGAGCCGAGGCUUCGGGGGGCUCGAGGAGCCGAGAGGUGGCAUGGUGAGAAUGGUGAGGCUAGGGUGUACCACUUGAUAGCCUCGCGCACCGGCUAGGACGGAGGCUACCCAGGGGACCUUCAGGGCUGUCGAGCCAGAAAUGCCAUCGCGAGUCGGAGUGAACCCGCAGGGGUUGCACAAGGCCUCGCCACCCUGGGACACAGGGAGUCGCUUUACUUCUGAGCGUGGAGAACCCCUUAGACUUUCUGGGGAGACUCUCUGGUGUGGGGACUCGGGACGACGGGCCUUGCGCCUGUAGGACGAAAAGCUGGCGUACACCCUGUGAGUGGAGCUAAACCUAGGUUAAUUAUUAUUAUUUUGCCUUGCCAAUUUUCUUCAUCCCUCAUGAUCGUUUCCUCAGGUGUCGGACCCCUGCUCCCACCAUUGAAUUUUCGUUCGGUCGUGAAUUGCAAAGGGCCUCAAAGAAAUCCUUUGCUAGAUAAUGUGAUUGCGAAGGGUUGUGUAGCUUGGCCCUGAAAAUGACAAAGGAAGCGUCUACCAGAAGAAGUUAGCACCUAAUCUUUCUUACCCCACCAGCGAAAGUAAACGACAUUGAAAAGGGACUGCAAUGAGCAGUCUUAAUCGACUAACACUGAAUGAACUAUGCUAAAAUACUGUGUAUAUUCGAAGUUGAUAACCAUGGAAAACGUCCCUUUUCUUUUGUUACCUAUAUUAAUUGUGGAAAAUAACGUGUUUUGUUGUGACAUCUUCAUGCAGGUAACGUUAGUUAACACACCAUCCCCUUCCCUUAGCCACUUGGUACCCUCACCGAUGAAAAUGCAUUCAGAAUACUUAAAGAACUUUUGAGCCUGUUUGCUCAGCAUCUCAAAUAACACCUUUUCUCCAGUAACUAAAACAGUACAGAGUGUUUGUUUUUUCAGGUUCUGAAGUUCACUAUAGAAAAAUGCCAAAAGAGGGUCUCUGAAAAGUUCAAACUUCUGAUAUGCAUAAUUUGAGUGUUUUCUUUUUCCCUCCCAAGCUUUUGGAGACUUCGGUGGGGAGGAUUCACACAGCACAGUCAAAGACCCUGGAUGGGAUCCCCAGCACUCGUUUGUUUGCAUCAAUGAAAAUAUAUGCUGUGAAUUUAAUAAAAUUCCAGUAGGUCUUCCUUUCUAAAAGCUAGGCAGGCUGCUUUUUAAAUUGUCAAAACACAACAGGAACCUUCAAAGAUAUAUGGAGAUGAUGGUAGUUUAAAAGGCAGUUUUCAAAGACUUGGCUUGUGGUGUGAGAAGCAGCCACAGACGUGGCAGAUGCCAUUCUUGUGGAUUCAGCAACGUGAAAGCCUCAGAAAUACGAAGAUCUUCUGCUUGUAAUGUUGAUUUUAGCAGGCUCAGAUAAUUAAAGGGCACUAGAAAACAUGUCUUUGCAAGGAUAUAUGCUGAUAAGCUAUAUGUGUUAAUGAAUAUAACCAUUUCUGGAAAUUCUGGUAUGCAGAGAUGCUCAACUGCAACCAGUUCUGUAAGUAGGUAUACAUUUAUAGUCUUUGAGAAUUUUUGAUGAUGCUGUGUGUGUGUAUGAUCGUGUUAUAAACUGUAAUCCUGAGUUGUCUCUCUUUUAUACACAGCUUUAUUGAAAUGAAAUUCAUAUAUGUCCUUCACCUACAUAAAGGGUGCAGUCCAAUGGGUUUUAGUUUGCUUAGAGUUCGGGCAAUCAAUACAAUUAUACAAAAACAACAACAACAAAAAACCCCUGCAAAACCAUGCUUGUAAGUAUAAGGAAAUAAUUGCAGAAGGAUUUUUGUCUUCUUCUAAAUUGGUAUUAUACAAAGCUUAUUGUGGGUAAUGUUGUCUUACAGUACUCCAAUUACAGUUGCAAUACUGUAAGUAAAUAGCAUAUUCCUUGUAUGUAAUAAGUGGCCUUUACUGGAAACAUACUAUUUUGUAACAUAGAUUACUGGCAAUUACAUGUUACAACACUGUCACAGUUGAGAAUUCUUUAAGGGUGAUGCAUACUUAAUUGAUUGCUUUCUUAUUCUGUAUGAUUAUUGUGCUGGGCAUUAUGCCUUCAUUGAAUUUUAGUCCCUGAGCCUAUUCCAUGUUCAAUGCUCAUGUUUGUGUGUCUUUCUAAAACUCGGCUUCCUUUUUGCUUUUGUGAUGGUUCCUGAGCUUUUUAUUUCCCAAGCUGGCAUUGUUUCCCCAUGAAGGCUUACUAAGUUUUGUUAUUUUUCAUAUAAACUCCAAAUUAACAAUUUAGUGAAGAGUCAACACAUUUCAGGGUUUAAGGAAUGAAUGGAAUAGAGAAAAACAGGUACCAAAUAAAAAUAAGAGGUUUGAAUAUCUGAAAGAUAAAUGUUAGUAGGGGCAGGCAGAAUUAAAAGUGUUUAUUUUAAAUGUUAGAAGCAACAACCUACUUACUUUUAAAGAUUUGUGUGCUUGGGUAUUUGCCAUCAUGUAUGUGCCUACUAGAGUGCCCACAGAGGUCAGAAGAGAGCCUCAGAGUGCCCUGGAACUAGAGACUGUUUUGAGCCACCAUGUGGAUGUUGGAAACUGAACUUGACCCUUUGCAAAAGCAACAAGUGCUCUGAACCACUGAACCCUUUCUACCCUCUCACAACUCUCUUAAUCCCCUCUUAGAAACCAAAGUCCUAACCCAGUGCACAGUGAUCGUGUCCGUAAGGAAUCUGAGGACAUUUAAACUUAAACUCUCUUGGGAAACAGCCAAAAAGGCAAAGAAAAGGAUCUCUGAAAUACUUUUGCAGUAAUUUUCUCAUAUAAUACUCAGUGGUUUGGGUUUCUUUCUAAAACCCAGCACUGUGGAGGUAAAAAGAGGGAAACUGUGACUUGGAGCCCAGCCUGGACUAUGUGGGGAAUUCCUGUCAAACCACAGGAAAUUUUUUCAUUGAAUUCUUUUUCUUUUCAUGAUUGCCAUUUUCAAGUCUUGGCUGCCUGUAUGACCAAACUUGUGUUUUGUGAAUUUUUUAUGACACUAAAAAAAAAAAAAGAAAAUAAGAAAAAGACAUAAGCAGGGUACUUACACUUCAUUAAUGCACAUCAAACCCAACUGGGAUCUUUAAAACCAUUAUUGGAGAGAGUAUUGAAUGUUCAGUGAAUGCAACUGGUCUCUGUUACUGACAAGAGAAAUCCAUAAUGAUUAUAUUUAUUAGAUUACUUUUGUGGGAAAUGUGUGGUUGUACAGAUACAAAAGAUGCAAAAGGAGAGAAGCAAAAGGCGGUAUAUCCCUCUAUAAAUGUCAUAAAUCCAAUUCUAACAAUUAUGAAUCAAAUUUUACAUUGCCUGAAGUUAUUCUCAUCUCAGUACUUACCUGUUUUCUCUAGAGAUUUAACUAGAAAGAUAAAUGAAGAAAAACAGCGAAGAUAGUAAGAGUUCUAUAAAAUGAAAAACUAGAAAUCAAGGUUCAAAAGACAAUUGGCCUGCACAUAUAUACAUACCUUCCCCCACCACCACCUUUUUUUUUCCCAGAGACAGAUUCUCUUUAUAGCUCUGGCUGUCCUGGGGCUGUCGGAGAAAACAGGCUGGCCUCGAACUAAUCUACCUUACCACCCUUUCUCUGCUAAGCUAAUUAGGUAACUAAUUAAUACUUGUGCAAUGAUCCAGAAUAAAUUUCAAGUAGCAAGUAGAAAUAAGUUGGUUUUUCUUUGAGACCGGAUCUUUCUACAUAGCCUUGCCUGGCUGCUCUAGAACUUACUGUGUAGACCAGACUGGCCUUAAACUCAGAGAUCCCCCUGCCUCUACCUCCCCAGUGCUGAGGGUUAUAGGCAUGCACCCCAUGCACUAUGCUGAUAUAAAAAUGAGUUCCUGAUAGCCUGUCAUAGUUGAGGUAAGUAAAUUUUUAGAGGAUACUUCAGUACUAUGACAGAAUUGCCUUAAAAAGUGUUUGACAUGUGGGAAGUGAUUCCUGUAGGAAUACUAGACAUGCAUGAUAAAAUACGUAUGUCAAACUAAAGUGUUUGUGAAGUCAUUUAUUCUACUGUACAUCAUGGUAGGUAAUCAGAAAGUUGAUUUUGUCAUUUAGGCUUUAGCAAUAGAAGGAUGUGUUUGAGUCUCACUUUCAUAUAAUGUUGACAUAUUCAUUCUGGGUUUUUAUUGCUAUAAAAAUAAUAUGCCUACUUCAUUGAGUUUUCCAGAGAAUUAAGGAAAUAUAUGAAAAAGUGCUUAAUGAUCCCAAAGGCAGUAUUGUGUAUGAUCUUAGAACACACACUGAGGGAAAAACAACCGUUUGCACUGACUCACUAAAUACUAAAAGUUACCACUUUUAAGCAUUAAAAAUUGAAUUUUCUUAUUAUAAAUCUGUGUUCUUUCAGUUUUAACUGCCAUCAGUACUAUAUUUAGUGAUACCCUAUAGAAUAUGUAAAAUCUCUACAUAUACAAUUUACAGUUAACCGAAAGACUUACAUUAAAGAUUGAAAUAACAAGAGUAUCUGAGUAAUAUUAUUACCCAUUUGGGAGAUGUGAUAUACAGAUACCUAAAGCUGUGCUGGUAAGUGGUCUACUUAAAGAAUGGCAGGUAUAUGAGAACUCAAAAAUCCAAAAUGGAAAAAAGACUGUUAGUGUCUAGACCCUGCAUUCCUGCACUGACUAUGAUGUCAGUGUAGAGGAGUGAGGUCUGAAUCAGAUCUUAAUUUUAAAAUGUUUUUAGCACAUCACUUAAGUUCAGCAGUAGGGAGACAAUUAGACAGAUCUCUUGAAUUCAAGGCCAGCAGGGAUCCUGUCUCACAAAACACCAGAAAACACCAACAUGAGUAAUUUGAAGAAUAUUGUCCAACCACAUAAGUGUUGUUUAGAUUCAAUGAGUAGAUAUAUAGUUAGUUUAAGGAAAUUUUAAAUCAUGGGAUUUAUUAAUAUGUCAUUAAAACAAAGGUAUUGCCAGGCAGUGGUGGCACACGCCUUUAAUCCCAGCACUUGGGAGGCAAAGGCAGGCGGAUUUCUGAGUUUGAGACCAGCCUGAUCAACAGUGAGUUCCAGGACAGCCAGGGCUAUACAGAGAAACCCUGUCUCAGAAAAAAAGACAAAAAAGGUGUUGAGUAAGAAGCUGCCCUAUAAUAUACUGAUUGAUACUUAAAAGUGUCAAUAUUAGACAUAACACUGAAAAUUACCAAACUAUAUAUGAAGUAAUGUUUUUAAGAAUUUAAUACAUUUUGAUCAUCCUCCCUGAUUCAGAUUUUAAUAGUCACUAAAAGAAUUAACUAGUUUCGAGGCACUGUCUAUAAGCCCCUGAUUUAAAACCUUGGCUACAAGUUUGAAUUCCUUAUGCUUAUUGAUAAUUUCAUACAUGAAAAUAAAGUAAACUUUAUUUUCUAAGUUGGGCAGUGGUGCAUGCGUUUAAUCUCCGCACUUGUUAGGGUUUGGUGUCAGAUGCAGGUAUAUCUGAGUUCCAGGCUAUCCUGGUUGCAGAGCAAGUUCUAGGUCAGCCAGAACUACAAAGAGAAAGCCUGUCAGGGAUGGGGGGAGCCUUAACUCUAGUAACUACUCUCAUUACUGUACCCAAGGCCAAUUAAGGCUAAUUUAGUGGUACCUCGAACAAAAGAGGCUAGUGGAGUGGAAUAGAUACCAGCCUGGGAAUGUCAACAUUGAAAAUAUGCUUAUCCCAUUUAAUUCAAAAUACUUAUAAAAUGAAUUUAAGGGGCUGGAGAGGUACCUCACUAUAAGCUGUAAAUUCUUUUUCAGGAGAUCUAAUUACUUUGGCCUCUGGGCACAAAAAAAACCUUACUGGAUCUCAGAGUUUGAAACCAGCCUGGUCUAUAGAGCUUCUAUGACAGCUAAGAUCACACAGCAAAAACCCUGUCUC
rnacentral:lncRNA from 1 species